AUCCCGAUGCUUGGGAGUAAGGCCAGCCCGCACAACAUUGUCUGAUGUUGCCAUGCAUUCAAUGCAGUCACCAUAUAGAUAUGCAUGGGGCUCAUUUGCCCCAAGAUACAGUGCUUCACCAGGAUUAAGCUUCACAUAAUUGAAAAAGAAGGCUGAUAUAACACCAAUAUCGGCUGGAUAUUGCUUUUCUAACUGCAAGCCCAGCCGUUCCUUGUCUGUCAACUUCCUCACCUGGCUUUCUAGGUGCAAUCGAGUUUUCAAUUUUGAUAUUACUUUAGUUGUCAUCUCUUUGCUAGCUGACAUAAGCUGGGUAAAAAUUGAUCUGAGAACUGUUUUUACUUUCUCUUCGCCAUCCUGCUCAUUCAUAUGCAAUACUUGGUUUGCAUCUGUACUGCCAACCAGUUCUACAAUUUCAGGAAUAUUAUGAAGUACAACUUUAAGCUCCUUAAGACAGAUAAAACCACAAAGGACCUCAAACUCAGUUAUGGCCAAAGCCAUCUCAGGCUUGUGGUUAUCAUCCUUGUAAACAUCUGGCUG
rnacentral:misc_RNA from 1 species